rnacentral:rRNA from 1 species
AUUGAACGCUGGCGGCAGGCCUAACACAUGCAAGUCGAACGAGUGGCGGACGGGUGAGUAAUGUCUGAGAAACUGCCUGAUGGGGGGGGAUAACUACUGGAAACGGUAGCUAAUACCGCAUACCUUCAGAUGAGCCCAGAUGGGAUUAGCUAGUUGGUGGGGUAACGGCUAACCAAGGCGACGAUCCCUAGCUGGUCCGAGAGGCAGACCAGCCACACUGGAACUGAGACACGGUCCAGACUCCUACGGGAGGCAGCAGUGGGGAAUAUUGCACAAUGGGCGCAAGCCUGAUGCAGCCAUGCCGCGUGUAUGAAGAAGGCCUUCGGGUGGUAAAGUACUUUCAUCGGGGAGGCGUUACCCGCAGAAGAAGCACCGGCUAACUCCGUGCCAGCAGCCGCGGUAAUUC